GUGUCACGGUACUUGUCUAUCCCAAAUUCAUGUAUUUGGUUUUGAUGUUAUAUUUGUUAUUUUCGUGGUAUUUUGUCUGAUGCUUGGCCCGUUUCUGUGUGUGUUACAUUUUAGUGUUGUGUCAUUGUUCUCUUCUUAUAUUUAAUGCGUUUCCCUCGGUUUUAGUUUGUUACCCCAAUUUGUUUUUUGUCCAUGGAUUUAUGAGUUUUGAACAGCGGUAUACUACUGUUGCCUUUAUUUA
rnacentral:lncRNA from 1 species